UAUGUAUAAGAAUUGAAAAUACAACUGUGAAUGUUCCCAGGUAACCUUACCUUGAAGCCUUGACAAAGACUCUGCAAGUCCGAGUCAUCACUAACUAGUGAUCUGUAUUGAGCUUUUGAUUUUUCUGCACAUUGCAAGCCAAAAAACAGGUAGGAUGUUCCCUUCCUGUCAGUUCCUCGUGCAUCAGGAUUUUCUCUGCAUUGCCUCAAAAAGCUUGGUAACUCUGGCAAAAGAUAAGAGAUUGAGGAAGUUUAGAGCGAGAUCUGUCCAAGUAAGGACAGAUACACCUGUAAGGACAGAUAUAAGCUGGUGAUGGUCAGUGCUUUUUUUUCCCCCCCUGCAUCCUCAUGUCUUCAGGAGUUGAUGAGAUGAUGAGGAAGAAUUCUAAAGAAGAACUGGAGCAAAUAAAUGCUAAACAUCUUUCUGUAGCUUUAGAAUGAUGUUUAUAGAAUGAAUGGAUAGUUUUUCUUUAAAAGCUAACAUUUUUGAGUAUAAAUGCAUAUCUCCAGAUAAAUCCAGGUGAGAGAAACUCCAUUUUCCUGAAGAAGCUGUCUUGUUAGUUGAUGUAUUUGAGUAAUUUUAUGAUAGUUUGUUGUCUAUAUGCUGCAAAAAAAUGGAUCCUUUAAACUUGCAUGUAGUGCUGCAUGGAUACUUAACCUGCUAAGAAAUCUAGCACAAACCUCUGGGAAUAGAGAUUUUUUUAAGAGGAACAGCUCUAUGGGUUUGUAGGUAGCAGCAACAGAAGUACGUCACUGAAAUCCAUCUAGGCUGUUGUGCUCACUGCAACAUGUGCAUAGGGGAGAAAGUGUGAAGGAAGAAAAAUGAGGGUAAAAAUAUAGUUAUAAUAGUUUUAAAGAGAAAUGAGAAAAACAUCCUAAAUCUAAUGCUAUCUGAGGUGAAUGGAAGAGAGAUCUUUUAAGUCACCUGAUCUAUAUAAUUUCAACAACGGUUUUGCAUUCUUUCAUCUACCUUGCACACUGUUCUAUGUUCACAGAAGCAAUUUUGUACUCACUGCAUAUACCUGCAAAAUUCAAAGAUAUUAGAAAAGCAUUUAAAAGGCAUUCUGAAUGCUUCUCAUUAUCAUAGAAAUACUUGGUGUUUCAGUGAAUCUUUAAUGUAAGAUUACAGCUUUAAAUUUGUUUUAAUGCCACAUAAUGUAAUACUGUGGUGACUUUAAAAAAGAGGUGGCGUUUGAAAUGGGAAAUACAGUUCUUCAGGUUCCAUAAGUACAGUUAGGUAAAACUAACUUCCUCUGUGUGUGUUCUUAUACAUUCAUUAGAAAUUCCUAUGCUUAGUCAUUCAGGACAGCUUUUAAUUACUAGACUCAGCCUUUUUCACUUGUGAUCACAGAACCUCACUGCACAAAGGUAACAGCUCCUGACAAUGAUAGAGAUGUAGCCUAAUGUUCCCUUUAAGCCCAGCCACCUUCUCCUGGUGAUACUGUUAUAUUACCUUUUGUGUAUGGCAUUAAACACUCUUGCAGUUCUCCUUCACAAAUGUCAUUAUUCCAUCUACUCUAAAGUGGAUAGGGUAUCAUAAUCAAUAAAACAUACUGAGGUUCUAGUGCAAGUUGUUUGACUAUAAAAACAAAUUAAUGUAAGAAGUUUUAAGGUUUUGUAAUAUUUAUGAUAAACUAUUAUCUGAUUUUGGUAGCCAUGGGAUUGUACAACAUCUAGCGUAUCCCAGGUGCUACAGCAAUAUAAUAUUAUUUGUGGAACAUUAACUCCAAAUUGUUGACUUUCAAAUAUUAGCAUGUUGUAAUUCUGAAAACAAAAUGCUUGAAGCAUUAUUAGUAUUCAAAGCCUUGACUUGGUUUUGGUUAAGUGGGUUUAUCUGAAUAAAUAGCAUGCUGGAAGAAGGAAAACUCAAAUGACUCUGACUUGAUCUCAUGAGGAGUUCUGUGAAGGCAGAAACUCAGUGAAUUCACCGGGGUUCUCUGCUGGUUUAAAGAUGUGCUAUGUAGCCUGCUGCAAGAUUUUAUUUUUCUGUGUGAUCUUAAGAGCCUGUAUUUUAUAUUGUUUAGUGGAUCUUUUUAAAGUACUUCUUAUUUGAAGGAGAUCCUUCUAACAGUGACUAAUUCUGAUUCAGUGAAGAGCUAUAGAAAAGGAUUCAAUUAUGGGGAGGCUGAUUAAAACAUUGUUUUGUGCACGAGAACAAUUAAUAAAAUGUCUUCAUAUUGUGCAGUAUUGAUUCAAUCACAAUUUUCCUCCUCUCUUUGCAAUUUAGAGAAAUAUGCCUUCUAGAAGUCAUUUUAUGAAAUAAUUCUAAGAACUGAGUUUAGUUAAUUUGUAGAGUAUGGGGUUAUUUGUGUUUCUAACUUCCAAAUGCACACAACACUGAGCAAGUCAGGCAUGGAACUGUACGAUGACUGUAUUGAAGUCUAGGCAAUAUGUGGAUGAAUUAUUGUUGUUUUAUCUCAACCUCAUCUUUUUAUGUAUGGCUUUCAUUUUUCUUGAGCAAUGUUGCGGGGUUAUGGGUAUGUAUGAGAGAAAUAGCUGCCUUCCGUUUGGGGUGUAGCCCCCCUUGUAGCCAUGUGAGAAAAUGUUCAUUGGGUAGGUGUUCUUUUUGAAAUCAGGUGUAUGGGUUUUUAAUCAGCACCAUUUUCUUUUGCAAGAAGCAGUGACUGGAACCUGCUGAUAAAGCUUUUGCUUUGAGGCACAGAUCCCAGAGUUCUUAAAGCCGUUUCCUGCCUUAAUAAGUGAAACUAAUUUUUGAUGUAUAACAUUUAUAAGCCUGUGAAACUGAUAGGGCAGCUUCAGUAUUUAGAAAAAUGAAGCCAAAAAUAAACAGAUGAAUGAGAACGGGCAGGAGAAACACGUCCUGAAAAGCAAAGGAAUGCCAAAAUGAUGCUGUCAAUACGCUAUCAUUAUGACAUGGUGAGAAGAGUGGGCUUUUUUAAAUCAGAUUCCCUUAAAAUCAGUGAUGAUUUGAGCAAUAUGCAUAAUCUAGGAGCUCUGAGUGAAUCACUGAAAUGCUUAUCCUUAAAACCUGAAUGAUACUGCUUCAAGACUUCAGAUGUUUUGGUUUCCAUAUGGUACUUAUUGCAGGUUCCUUAAGGAGGAUGUUACUGUACUGAUGUAAAUGAGGCUUUGGGCUGUAUGUUAUUUGUUGCUUUGUUCUACUUUGUCAAAUACACCCAACUGCUGACUUCAAAACAAAGUGUCUUCAUUUAGUAGUGCUCAAGAUUUUCAACUGUUGGAGGCUAGAAGUUACAACUUGGCUACCUUGGCUAACACACUUCUAGUAAAAAAAGAAUUAUACAUCUAUGACGGCGAUAGUCUGAUCUCUUGGCUAACCUCGCUGCAAAGUAUUACCCUAUGUUUCCCGUUGUCAGCCCAGUUGGUGGACUACAAAAGUGAGCCCCAUUAGUUUGGAUGUUAUCAAGCUAGCAGACAUCGUUAACUACAGGACCCUGGGCCAUUCCCUCAGUACGUCCUCGUGAGGUGUUCUGCUUUGCUAAGGAAUUACGGUGGUCCUGAAAUUGCAUUAUUUACAAGUGGAAUUAUUCCUGGAAGAACAUGGGUGUGUCUGCAUUUAUGCUGUGCAGAAUAACUUGGUCCAUCAGUAACUCCUUGCUUCUUUGGCUAGAUUGCUUCUAGAACCUGGUCUAGCUUGAGCAUCUCUAUGCUGUGGUGCAGUUAUAGCACAUAAGAUUAGCACUUGGGAUUUUUGUUGAGCAUUCACGUAAUGCAGGUGGGUCAUACCGCUUAGUCAUAAUUCACUAUGGGUUUUUAAAUAUCCUGCUAGAGUGGAAGUUCUUCCUGUAAUACCUAUAUCAUGACACUAUUAGUAUUAAAUAACUAGCAAUUCAGCAUAGUACAUGUGACAACACACAAUUAAGGUUCGUUAUUAUAACCCAGUUGCUAUUACCUUUUUUUUAUGUUGGAAAAAGCCAAGGCUUUCUGCUUUUGAAGUUCUGCUUUUUAAAUGGGGAAUGGCGUAUCUAAAACUCUAGUUUGAACACUGUGUUUAAUUACGACUUGUUUAAUCUGAGAGAUAUCAAGAGAAAUGGUAGUAGUAAUAUAGGAGUUGCCCAGAAAUCCUGAACCUUGUGGAAUGAACUUUGUAGCAACGUUGAAGUUUGUGUACUCUUAGCUGAAUUACAAUAAAAAUGCCUUUCUUGGGAAUACUUUAGGGUAGGCUAGCUGAGAUUCAGUGGUAGCAAGUACUUGAAUGUGCAUGUAAGUGGGAACAGACACUUAGAAUUGUGUGACCUUUUCUAACAUUUUCAAAAAAGCUUUUUGGAAUAAUAUCUUCAAUUGUACUUGAAUUGUUCUUACUGGGUUUGUUGGACUUUGUCCAGAUUUUUUUCAAGAUUUAAAAUAGAGUAGUUAGAGCACAGUGGCUUUGUAGUGUGAGGUGUUUAUCCUUUUGAGUAAAGACAGUAUCUGGAGAUGCCUGGUUUACUUUCCUGUAAAUUGACUUCACUUUGGAGUGAUACCUUAAAAAGUUCUGUUCCCUGUUCAACCAAAUAACAGCAAAACAUUUGCCCUAUAUCCCCAACCUAUAAACCUGAAAAUAUUUUCCAGACUUCUUUCCCUAGAGAAGGAGGUUUUUUUGACUCAAAUUGUUGCGCAGGGUCUCAAGAAGCAGCAUGCAGAUUUCUUACAGCUUUGAUAUUCUGAGAACUAAUCUGUCUAAACCUCAGAGUUUGCAUUUGGCUUGUGGUUUUUGAGUUACUGCCUGGUAGGUAGGUGCCAUAUUGUCUCAGAGCAUGUUAGCCUGGGGACUGUAACUUGAACACCAUAAAAUAAUCUUGACCAUGUUAGAUUUACCUGUCAAAAAGAACUUUAGAAAUAUUUUGUAAUUUGGCCUGCUGAAUUGCUGAAGUAGUUGUCAAUCUCUAAAUAGCGCAGACUUCUAGACAGCAGUGUUUCUAUGUACUUAGCUUGUGGCUUCUGGCAUUUCGGUGAAAGAUUUUUUUUAAAUGCUCCAAUUUACAAGGAAAGUAUGGUAUUGUAGUCAAGUUUAAAUGAAAGAUCUAUAUCAUAAUUGACCAAAUUAAUUAGCUAUUCACUGGCACAUCAUUCUCAUGUUACAGCAAAAUCGGUUUUGCUGUUGUCUUCAAAAUUUGUGCUGAUCAAUUUUCACCAUUUUCUAGUGUUCAAAUUAGCAUGGUUUGUAGUAACUUCUAGCUGUAUGAUUUAGAAUGGGACAUGGACAAGCAAGGUUGUAUGUCAAAACCAUCAGGACAGAUUCUGUAAGCUGUUGCUGUCAUAUUCAAAAUCUGGCUGGGAUAUGAAUGAUCGUGAUGUUGUACACAGCUGUUUCAAACAGGUAUCUAGGGCUAGGUGAGUUGGCUGCUCUUCCUUUGGUAUCAUAGUUUCAUUCCUAAAUUCUGUGCAGCAUUCACAGUGUAUUGUAGUGCUUUUAGGUACCUGAAGGGAGUGAUACAGUUUUAUACAGAAUACAACCAAGCACCAAUUAACUUGGAAGUCUUGCCAGUUGAAGGACUUGGGGGGGGGGGAAUUUAUUUUUUAUCUGUGAAGGAUUUUAUUUCUAACACUUAGCAGAGGUGCUUCCAAAUAUCUCUCUUCAUUGAGGUUGUUUUCUUUUAACCUUUGGAACAUGGCAGGGUUAUCACCUAGAAUUACAUUCUUCUGCUCCCUUAAUUAUGUAUAUCUUUUCCUUAACAAACCUUAAAAAAAGAUUUCAGAUGUUACAAGUCUAAUUAAAGAGACAGACAAAGCACAGUUUAUACUGUAGAUUUUUUCUGCAGUUCAAUUAAUCAGCAUGUUUUCUCUUUUAAUUAAAACCAUUUUAGUAAAUUAAAGCCCACAGCAAAACACAUAUAUAAUUUGUUUGUAAUUAGCUCUUAAUUGGUGGUAGUUGAAGCUUAGCACCCUUGGUUUCUUUCUUCAUGAUUGCCAUUUUAUUAGCAGCCAGUCAUUAAUUAAUCUUUUUUUCUAAUUAGCUUAUAAAACUGUUGAUGGCACAUUAUUGUAAAUGUGAUUUUAAGUUCAAAGCUUGUUAAUAAGCUUUCUUACUUAGAAGAACAGAGAUAAAGAAAUUGCUGAAAACAGUACUACAGUUCUUUUUUUAAAACUGCCUUUCUUAUAAGGGGGCUGUGUAAAGCAUCUAACAGCUUAUAGUUAAUUUUUUAAUGCUGUGUUUUCUCAUGAAUGGAAGAAGUUACUAGCAUUUAAAUGUUUAAAUCUAGAGGAGAGCUUAAUGGUAUAACAGUGUUCUGUCCUUGCUCCAUUACUGUGUCAUCCAAAUAUAAUUUGAUGUUGUAAUGCACAGCAUAAAAAUACAACAAAGGUAUUACAAAGUAUUUUACAGUGCAAGUUGAGCACAUCAUUGAAAGGGGACAAUUUUCACUGCAAAAUCCACUCGGUAUUCUUGUUUGCUUUAUAUAUUUUAUAUACGUCAGCAAUGGAUAACAUUCCAUAACAUAAAAGGAGAAAAUCAUUGCUAAAGGCAAGCCUGAAAUAACUAGAUUCAUAUUUGAUGAGAAACUGUAACACUGUAUUAAAAGGCUGUUUGGCUUCUCUCCUAUGAUCAUAGGAUAUUUCAGGACCUGUUUGAAUACAGAUGUUUUGUUACAGCUUCUGUGGGUUUAGCAUUUUGUAUGUCAUACCUAAAUUCAUACUUAAAUAUUUCUGAGCAGUUCUUGAAUCUGCUGUCUGGCUCAUUCAGCAUUUAUAUCAUGCGGUGUUAUUUUAAUGAAAUAUAUUUACAGUGUAGUACUUGAUGUUAAACGUCUUGAUUUUUUUAAGGAAGUUUUCUGAAAGUUAGGUGCUGGUGCAACUUGACAGAAAUGUUUACUCUUCUGCCUGAACUUUCCAUACUAUUUCAACUUCAUCCAUUUCUUUGCUUGUUUUAAAAGUGUUUUAUGAUGCUGUGCAAGAAACACUAGAAAGGGAUAGCUGACAAGGAAAAAAUUAAAAAUUGGAUAAAAAGUAAAUGAAUAAUGUCAUAUUACUAAAAAGAUGAGAGGCUAAUUUGUGCCGACUUUUUGCUAAUUUUGUUCAAGCCUCAAAAUGAGGAGCUGUCACCCGUUCUGUGUAGCACUGAUGACAGUGCCAAUGAUCCAUGAAAUAAGCUGCCGCUGGCUUUGUUCUGAUAAGAAUGAACAAAUCUGCACAAUGUACGGCUCCCAGAAUCUCAUUUUCAUACUUGCAUGCAGGCUAAAAGAAAUAAGCUGUUUGCAGGCUUGAUUAAUCAGACAUUUGAGGGUUUUUUGUCUCUUUGAUCUCUUUCGUCUCCUAGGUAACUUGCUUGACAUUAAUGUUGAGCUUGAGUAAAGACAAUCAGGAAUUGUAGACCAAACUGAUAUAAAAAUUAAAGACCUUAACACUUUAAGUACUCCAGUAAUGGUUCCGCUUUACUUCAGAAAACAUCUGUUUUCAUUUAAUUAAAGAACAAAAGAGAAAGGCAUAAAUAUUUUUCAUAGAGACCUGUUAUUCUACAAAAAAAGUUAAAGUAUGAUAAUUGGUAUUUUUGAACAGUUUCAAGGCAUUUAUUUAGAAAGAAGCAAAGCUUCAGAAAUGUGUUACGAGGUAACAAUUUCAGUUGUAUAGAAAUAUUAUGAAAAAUAAUGGAUGAGGAAUUUUUCACUUAUGCUACAUUAAACAGCUAGAGGAAGAUAUUUGAUGUGAUUAUUGGUGAACUUCGAAAUGGAAAGGUCUUUGCCCUGUUAGAACCUAAGUUGUUUUAUUUAGUUUGUCUUAAAUAUAUAUAUAUAUUGUGUUAUAAGGAUGAACCAUCAUAUCAGCUUUACUGCCCAAUAUGAUUUACACAUUUUAAACCUGUAAAAUUGAAAGGAAUUUAAAAAAAAAAAAAGUGUCGCAGUGCGUUUGCUGGAGGUUAUGCAGACGCUUUUACAAAUCUUCCAAGUGGCUGUAAAGAUGAAUGCCUCAAGGGUCUAGCCAGGGCCCUGCUUUUCCAACCAGCUAAAGCCCUUAUCUUAAAUCCAAGCAAAGUACCAUUAAUCUUUUUGAAAGACCUUUUAUGGCUUUUAAUAUAUCCCAAAUUAGAACAUUUUACACCCUUGGUUCCUGAAAUAUGGUGAUAAAAAGCCUUUAGAGCUUAAUUUUCCUUACUGCGUGCUCUGACCAAUUUGCAGUUCUUUGUGAUAAUGUUUAGACACCUUAAUUAAAAUGCAGCAAAAUAUUGGAUGUUCUAUAUGGAAAAUGCUGAUACUUUGACUACACAAGAAAUUGUUGUAUAUAUUUUUAUUCAUGCUUUUUUACUUCUUUUAAUGUUGUAGUUUAGGAAGUUAUCUGAUGACCUGAAAUGUUUUUUAAUGUAAAACCCAUUGACCAAGCUUUUAUCGUUUUCUUUUGGGAGGGGCACUGAAGAUGUAUGUCUGGGUGUGGGUGGGAGCAGAAGACAUUUAAUCUGACUGAAAUAUUUGUGUUUAUAUGCAACAUUUGUUUUCAUGUCUUGCAAAUUUGGCUCUGUGUAGCCUGGACAUGGUGACAUUAUUGCUGCAAAAUGCUUCUGCUUUUCCUUCCACAUACACUACAGAGGAUCUUAUUAUCCCAUUUUCUGUACUUUUCAAAGAUGGAAGAACUCAUUCUGGCUUCCAAGAAAUGCAGAUCAAAGGAUUUUUUUUUUUCCUCAGCACUUGUAUAGAUCUCAGUAGUGUAUAUCUGUAUGUGUAGAAGUGUUCAGUAGAUUCCUAGAAUAUAUUUUGAGGGGCAGACCAUUAUUCACCACAUAGUAAGAGUUCAUUUUUAGUAAGUGUAUUAGGAGGUAACAUGCAAUUGAAAAAUAAUGAAGGCAUGGUUCUGCUGAUUCUUGUGGACUUCAGCCAUUAGAUUAGCUCAAAAUAUAGAGCCUUCAAGUAAUCGUUUUUCUAAAUAUUUUAGGUGAGUUUUCAUAAGCAUUCUUAUAGUGCAAGUAUAAUAACAUAAAUAGUUGCACUUAAAAAUUAAAUGACAAUAUAAAGAAUGUUAUCCUUUGUUAGUCUUUCACUUGCUAUUUGGUAGUUCAGAUAUUGUCAUUGAAUUACUGAUUUAUAUAAUAUUGUUAACGCUCAGAAAAUUACAGCCAAUACAAAAGCUUUGAAACAUCACAUCGUUUUGUACAUCUUGAUGACUUCAUAGGUACAUAUUUAUGACCCUAUAACAAACACAUGCAUAAACUAUAUUUAAAAAAAAAAAGGCUAGCAUUAGUCAUUGUGCACAAUUCCUUUGGGGGGG